rnacentral:rRNA from 1 species
GUGACUAUUGUUCAACGGCCGCGGUAUCCUAACCGUGCGAAGGUAGCGUAAUCACUUGUUCUUUAAAUGAGGACUAGUAUGAAUGGCAUCACGAGGGUUAUACUGUCUCCUCUCUCUAAUCAGUGAAACUAAUCUCCCCGUGAAGAAGCGGGGAUGAAAUUAUAAGACGAGAAGACCCUAUGGAGCUUUAAGUAAAUCUUCAAACGCUUGUACACCCUAACAGUCAUAGACCCUUAAAAUUAACUUUAGCGCCAUGAAGAUGAACUUUAGGUUGGGGUGACCACGGAGUACAAAAAAACCUCUACGCUGAACAAGUCUCAUAAGCCUUGAGUAAAGGACCACAAUCCGACACACUAAUAAACUAACACCCAUUGACCCA